AGCGAACGCUGGCGGCAGGCUUAACACAUGCAAGUCGAACGGGCAUAGCAAUAUGUCAGUGGCAGACGGGUGCGUAACGCGUGGGAACGUACCUUUUGGUUCGGAACAACACAGGGAAACUUGUGCUAAUACCGGAUAAGCCCUUACGGGGAAAGAUUUAUCGCCGAAAGAUCGGCCCGCGUCUGUUUAGCUAGUUGGUAGGGUAAUGGCCUACCAAGGCGACGAUCAGUAGCUGGUCUGAGAGGAUGAUCAGCCACAUUGGGACUGAGACACGGCCCAAACUCCUACGGAAGGCAGCAGUGGGGAAUAUUGGACAAUGGGCGAAAGCCUGAUCCAGCCAUGCCGCGUGAGUGAUGAAGGCCCUAGGGUUGUAAAGCUCUUUUGUGCGGGAAGAUAAUGACGGUACCGCAAGAAUAAGCCCCGGCUAACUUCGUG
rnacentral:rRNA from 1 species